UUUAUUAUUUCCCGUCCCCCCCCCCAGGUGCCCUCAGGACGCUCUGCUGGGGGAAUUCCAGGGAGGGAAGGACUCGGGGCUGGAGGUCACACCUUUUCCUCCUUUUCUUCCUCCUCCUCCUCCUCCUCUUCUUCUUCCUUCUUCCUUCUCCCCUUCUUCCUCUUUUUCCUCUUCUUCCUCCUCUUCCUUGACCAUUUCCUUCUCCUCUUCUUUUUCUUCCUCCUCCUCUCUUCCUCCUUCUCCUCCUCUUAUUUCUCUUCUUCUUUUACUUCUUUCUCCUUUUUCUCCUUUUCUUCUACUUCCUCCUCCUCUUCUUCCUCUUCCUCAUCUUCAUCUUCUCUUUCCUCUUCCUCUUCGUCUUCCUUCUCCUCUUCCUCCUUAUCCUCCCUUUUCUCCUCCUCCUCCUCUUCUUCUUCUUCCUCCUUCUCCUUUUUUUCUUCUUCCUUCUCAUCUUCAGCUUCUUCUUCCUCCUUCUCUUCUUCCUGCUCUUCCUCUUCUUCUUCUCUUCUUCACCUCCUCCUCUUCUUCCUCUUCUUCCUCCUCUCUACUUCUUCCUCCUUUUCUUCCUCUACUUCCUCCUCCUCUUUCUCCUUCUCUUCUUCUUCUUCCUCCUCCUCUUCUUCCUCUUCUUCCACCUCCUCCUCUUCUUCCUCUUCUUCCUCCUCCUCUACUUCUUCCUCCUCUACUUCCUCCUCCUCUUUCUCCUUCUCUUCUUCUUCUUCCUCCUCCUCUUCUUCCUCUUCUUCCACCUCCUCCUCUUCUUCCUCUUCUUCCUCCUCCUCUACUUCUUCCUCCUCUACUUCCUCCUCCUCUUUCUCCUUCUCUUCUUCUUCUUCCUCCUCCUCUUCUUCCUCUUCUUCCUCCUCCUUCUCUUCCUCUUGUUCCUCCUCCCCUUCUUCUUCCUCCUCUACUUCUUCCUCGUUGCCCUCCUCCUUUUCCUCCUCCUCCUCUUCUCCCUCCUCCUCAUUUUCUUCAUCUUCUUCCUCCUCUUCUUCCUCUUCUUCUUUCUCCUCCUCCUCUUAUUCCUCUUCUUCCUCCUCUUUCUCCUUCCUCCUUAUCUUCAUCGUCUUUUUCCUCCUUCUCUUCCUCUUCUUCCUCCUCCUCUUCCUCCUUUCCUCCUCCUCCUCUUCUUUCUCCUUCUCUUAUUCCUCCUCUCUCUCCUCUCCCUCCUCUUCCUCCUCUUCUUCAUCCCUCCCUCCUCCUCCUCCCCCUCUCCCCGGGGGU
rnacentral:lncRNA from 1 species